UGAAUGCGGGCGCUUUCUUUCUCUCGGACAUCGCUUUGUGGCCUCACUGCUCCGCCCCGGGAAGUACUUUGUUUGUAAACUUCAGGCUCCAGGUGUGCGGGGCGACCCACAUUCUGAAUGUAGCCUAGAGCGCGGCAUGCCUUGAAAGAAGCUGUGAGAUGUAAGCCCUUGUUGUCCUAACGUAUGUUGAGCCCUUUCAUCCCCCGCUGUAGACUGGCGUGCACGCGGGAGAUCUUUGGCCUCUACGGACCUCCCAUCUGCGGCAGCAUCUGAGAGGGCCACCAAUGGUCGCUUCCUUCUGGUAUUCACAAGAUCCUAUGUCCAGCAGCCUGUGAGAAACUGAAUCCUGCUCACAGCCAUGUGAGUGAAUUUGGAGAAAGAUCCUCCCCCACGUGUGCUUUCAGAUGACUGCAGCCCAACUGACACCUUGAUUGCAGCCUUGUGGAAGGCCCUGAGCCAGAGAUAUCCAGCUAAGCUGCACGUGGAUUCCUCAUACACAGAAGAUUUGACAUAAUAAAUGACUGUUGUGGCAAGCUGCUACCUUUUUUUAGUAAUUUGUUAGGAAAUAAUGGACAGCUGAUAUGAUUUCCAUCUCUGACACAAGAUCCGUGGUUCUUAAAUAUACUUUGAAGCUUGUUGGAAAAUACAUAAGCCCAGCCCUGCCUGGUGUGGCCCAGUUGAUUGUUGGUUUGAUUCCCGAUUGGGGCACAUGCCCGGGUUGCAGGCUCGGUCCCCGGUGGAGGAUUUGUAGGAGGCAGCCGAUGGACGCUUCACUCUCACAUGGUUAUUUCUCUCCAUCUCCCUCUCACUCUAAAAAUCAAUAAAAAUGUUUGAAAAAAUACAUAAA